rnacentral:rRNA from 1 species
UAAUACGAAGGGGGCUAGCGUUGUUCGGAGUUACUGGGCGUAAAGGGCGCGUAGGCGGCCGUCCAAGUCAGGUGUGAAAGCCCGGGGCUCAACCCCGGAUGUGCACUUGAGACUGGAUGGCUUGAGGAUGGGAGAGGAUGGUGGAAUUCCCAGUGUAGAGGUGAAAUUCGUAGAUAUUGGGAAGAACACCGGUGGCGAAGGCGGCCAUCUGGACCAUUUCUGACGCUGAGGCGCGAAAGCGUGGGGAGCAAACAGGAUUAGAUACCCUGGUAGUCCACGCCGUAAACGAUGAGUGCUAGACGUUGGGGAACCUAGUUCUUCGGUGUCGCAGCUAACGCAUUAAGCACUCCGCCUGGGGAGUACGGCCGCAAGGUUA